rnacentral:lncRNA from 1 species
GUAUUCUGCAACCACUACAUACACCUCUUGUUUUGUUUACGGCUGCCUAUUUGAUUUUCUUUCUCUAUCUGUGGCUUUAAAAAGAUGCUUCUCAGUCAGGAACAGGUGGACAUAGGAGGGCCCUUUCCCUCUCCAAUAAGUCUCUUUCUGGCCUUCAAGAGAGAACACCCACGCACAGGAAAUCAAUCCCAAGAUCCACAGAUAGAUGUAAUGUCCUAGAGGAAAUUCAACUGAAUCUUUCCCAUACAUCCUUCCACAUUUCUGCUGCAGGUAAUUUCACCACCACUUAACCAGAGGCUAAAGCCCUAAAUUUGUAUUUAUCUUGUAUUACUUCCCCCUUGACUUCACUUUACACACUUAAUUAGUUGUCUAAUCUCAAAUAUUUCUCAAAUAUACCUCCUCUCCCCCAACCCCAUUCUUCCGAAUUAGGUUUCUGCCAUCACUGUCAUGAACUAAUGCAAUGACCUCACUGGAAGUUGUGCCUGACUCUCCACCUCUCUACUCCCCUCACCACACUGUGGAAGAGUUUUUAAAGUA